CAAGAUAUAGCUAGAAAGUAAGCUCCUCUUUUACGCAGAGCUGAGAUCCGUGCAAGUCGGGUUAUCUUGA
rnacentral:tRNA from 1 species